UACGGAGGGUGCAAGCGUUGUCCGGAUUUAUUGGGUUUAAAGGGUGCGUAGGUGGCUUUUUAAGUCUGACCUGAAAGUGGGCCGCUUAACGGCACAGGGUGGUUGGAUACUGAAGAGCUUGAAGAGGGUGGAGGCCGCCGGAACGGAUCGUGUAGCGGUGAAAUGCAUAGAGAUGAUCCAGAACCCCGAUUGCGUAGGCAGGCGGCUACGCCCCACUUGACACUGAGGCACGAGAGCAUGGGGAGCAAACAGG
rnacentral:rRNA from 1 species